UCCUACGGGACGCAGCAGUGGGGAAUAUUGGGCAAUGGGCGCAAGCCUGACCCAGCAACGCCGCGUGAAGGAAGAAGGCUUUCGGGUUGUAAACUUCUUUUAAGAGGGAAGAGCAGAAGACGGUACCUCUUGAAUAAGCCACGGCUAACUACGUGCCAGCAGCCGCGGUAAUACGUAGGUGGCAAGCGUUGUCCGGAUUUACUGGGUGUAAAGGGAGCGUAGGCGGCCCUGUAAGUCUGAUGUGAAAAUUUGGGGCUCAACCCCAAACGUGCAUUGGAAACUGCAGGGCUUGAGUGCCGGAGAGG
rnacentral:rRNA from 1 species